UUAUCUUAUUUUUCUUCCUCUUCACUUCAUCUUUUUCCUCUUCAAGCCAAGAGUAAAGGUGAAAACUUUAUAGAUUUCCAGUUAUUGCAAGGAGAAACUAAGGUUCUUAGGGGUAGAUCGUGGGGAUUUACCGUCGUCAGCCAUUCCAGUGCAACAGUACAGACCAACCGAGACCAUCAGAUUAAGCUGUUAGACUGGGGCGAGGAUGGUAUAGCGACAACUGCUGAAACCGCUGCUCUACGAACAUCAUUUCGGCAAGAGGUUUCUGUUUGGCAUAAGCUCGACCAUCCUAAUGUUACAAAGUUUAUCGGGGCCUCGAUGGGAACUCAAAUCUUAAGAUUCCAUCAAAAAAUCCGUCAGCGGAAAGCCAUGAUCCCCUUCCUUCUAAAGCAUGCUGUGUUGUUGUCGAGUAUCUCCCCUGUGGCACACUGAAACAAUACUUGAUACGAAAUAGGCGGAAGAAACUCGCUUUUAAGGUUGUGAUCCAACUUGUUCUGGACCUCUCUAGAGGUCUUAGCUACCUACACUCGAGAAAGUUUGUGCAUCGUGAUGUCAAGACAGAGAACAUGUUGCUAGAUGCUCACAGAAAUCUUAAAAUUGCAGAUUUCGGCAUUGCUCGUGCCGAAGCUCAGAAUCCACUGGACAUGACUGAUGAAACCGGUACCCCCCGCUACAUGUCCCCGCAGGUUCUCGAUGGUAAACCCUACAACAGAAGAUGUGAUGUCUACAGCUUUGGCAUUUGCCUGUGGGAAAUUUAUUGCUGUGCCAGAUCUCAGCUUCGCCGACGUAUAGUCUGCAGUUGUCGGACAGGUUAG